GUGCGUAGCGCGAUGCACGCUACCUCAUACUGGGGGAUAGCCCGGAGAAAUCUGGAGUAAUACCCCAGGCACAGCACAGGGCAUCUGCGAGCUGUUAAAGAUUCAUCGGUAUGAAAUGGGCAUGCGUCUGAUUAGCUAGUUGGCGGUGUAACGGACCACCAAGGCGACGAUAAGUAGGGGUUCUGAGAGGAAGGUCCCCCACACUGGCACUGACAUACGGGCCAGACUCCUACGGGAGGCAGCAGUAGGGAAUAUUGGGCAAUGGACGAGAGUCUGACCCAGCCAUGCCGCGUGCAGGAAGAAGGCCUAUUGGGUUGUAAACUGCUUUUAUCUGGGAAGAAAAGGCCCAUGCGUGGGACAUUGCCGGUACCAGAUGAAUAAGCACCGGCUAACUCCGUGCCAGCAGCCGCGGUAAUACGGAGGGUGCAAGCGUUGUCCGGAUUUAUUGGGUUUAAAGGGUGCGUAGGCGGCUAUUUAAGUCAGCGGUGAAAGACUCCGGCUCAACCGGAGCAGUGCCAUUGAUACUGGAUAGCUUGAGUGUUGGAGGGGUACAUGGAAUUGAUGGU
rnacentral:rRNA from 1 species